rnacentral:rRNA from 1 species
GACAAUGGAGGCAACUCUGAUCCAGCCAUGCCGCGUGACGGAAUACGGCCCUAUGGGUUGUAAACUUCUUUUAGACGGGACAAAACCCCUUUACGUGUAAAGGGUUGAUGGUACUGUCAGAAUAAGCAUCGGCUAACUUCGUGCCAGCAGCCGCGGUAAUACGAAGGAUGCAAGCGUUAUCCGGAAUUAUUGGGUUUAAAGGGUGCGUAGGCGGACUAAUAAGUCAGUGGUGAAAGCCUGCAGCUUAACUGCAGAAUUGCCAUUGAGACUGUUAGUCUUGAGUACAGUUGAGGUAGGCGGAAUGUGUCAUGUAGCGGUGAAAUGCUUAGAUAUGACACAGAACACCGAUUGCGAAGGCAGCUUGCUAAGCUGUAACUGACGCUGAGGCACGAAAGCGUGGGGAGCAAACA